AUGCAGGGUAUUCUCUGUUUUUCAAUAGGGAUAAAUUACUAUAAAAAAAUUGAUCCUAGAUAAUUUUCCCUUCAAGUCAAACAUCUUGU
rnacentral:pre_miRNA from 1 species